AUGAAUUCUAUGUCGUUGGUUGUUUGAAGAGGGCACAUCCUGCCUCCGGGAUGCACCUUCUGCAAGUGAAGGCCGAAACCGUGGACUCAAAACAAACGGGCCCCAUUGGACAACGGAAGAGGUGACUACACUAGUUGAUGGUCUUGAAGAAUUUAGGGGUCGACGAUGGUCUGCGAUAAAGAAGAAAUAUUUUCCAACGUCAGAUCGAACUACGGAGAAUCUUAAGGAUAAGUGGAAAAAUCUGCGAAAAUCAUACACAGGAAAUGCAGAAAGAAGAUGCUAUCUAGUUCUUCCUGAUCCUUUGGUCGAACGAAUCAAGAGGCUAGCAGCGACUUGUAACUGAAAGGAAGAUGCCCUGAUGUAUGGUACAAGAGUCACUGUUUAGGACUUUUGGGGUAGAGUGGUCAGUAGCUAGCUUGAAUCAGCCGAGAAUAACUUGUAUUGAAGUAGAGCCAUGUCUAGUUCUUCCUGAUCAUUUGAUCGAACGAAUCAAGAUGCUAGCUGCGACUGGUAACUGAAAGGAAGAUGCCCUGAUGUAUGGUACAAGAGUCACUGUUUGGGAUGUUUGGUGUAGAGUGGUCAGUAGCUAGCUUGAAU